UUCAGAGGGGGGCCCCAGACUGAGGUUUUAUCUCUAGAAUUUUACAUAACAAACUUGUUUGAUGGAUCCAUGGAUUGCAGUGAUCAUCUCAUAAGGGAAGGACAACAGAAAGUGAUCAUUCACCAUCUGGAUGUUGGAGAAAUAAUGACCCAGCACUCUACAUCCUGAACCCAUCUUUCUUUCUUUGAAGUAACAAACACUGUUUGCUCAUGGGACCUGAAGUUCAGCAUAAUGGUAUCAACUGAAGUGCUUCAGUUCCACUUCACUCAAUCUGAAGAUUUGAAUUUGUUCUUAUGAAACUUCUCAAUUUUCCAGAAACUGUACUUUCCUGGUGGGUUCCAAUUAUAUCUGUGUACUGCCUGACAGCCAGGCAGAAACACACCAUCAAGGCAAUGGCAUUUGAACUACUUUGUGGCUAGCUUUGGCAGCAGGAAAAGUUCUUCAUGUCCUAAUUCAUAAGUCAUCCAUUUUCUUUCUGGAAAGCUUCCUUUAAAAGACAAACUGACUUGGCAUGAUGAUAAAUGAUCACAAACUUAAAUCACAGAAGGCAAAGUACCUUCUGAACUAUUUUUUUUCUUUUUCUUUUUCUUUUUUUUUUUUUUUUAACUCAAAAAGAAAAGCAGAUGACCUUUGCAAAAUUUCCAGUGAGGUAAGUAAGGUUCAUAUUCCUCAGUCAGAAACAGCUUCUCCUUUUUCUUUGAAAAUAAGUGAAUAGUUGGGCAGCUGAGAAAGGCUGAUAGAACUUUCCCUUAGUGUAUAGAAUGAGCAUCUGACCCAUUAUGAUACAGAGAUCAAAUGUUUAAUUGUAAUAUUUAUGCUAUAACAUAGCAACAUAGAGUUCUUGUCUAGACUUGUUUCGUGGCCUAUUUUAAAAAAAAAAUAGGGGGAAGAUACAAAAGUUUCAAUAAAAUUCUUACCUUUUAUUUUUCUCCUGUGACUAACUCAUGAAUAGUAAACACAUAAUUAGCUACACAGAGAGGAGGGUGUUUUGAUCAUCAAGAAUAUUAAGAAUAUAUUCUCUUGCUAAAGAAAAGGGUAAGACUUGUUCUCAGAUACUGCUGACUCGAGGAAAGGAUCUUAUUAUGCGCAUGUUGCUUAGCUGUCUAGAUGAUCUACCAUGGAAUUAAAGCUCUCCCUGUGAUUUUGAGCAGCUAGAGCUGGAGUGCCUUGUGAAUUCACUAAGAGAGGAGUUUGCUUGCUCUGUUACUGGUAUUCAACUCAGAGCCUCAUGAAAUCAACUGAAUAUGAGUCUUCCACAACACAUGCCUAUAAACUGUGGGGAAUCCCUUUUGGGACACUGUAUUUGUUGAUUCAGGGCUAAGUGACUCAAUUUGCUGUUUAUUUAAACAUUCCAUUCACUAGUACAUAGCCACAUAAAACGUGGAAUCACAUUCUUAUGAAAAUCCUAGAGGCUAAGAGGCCACUGCCCCAUACACUAGGUGUAGGUUUCACCUAGUCUGUACUUCUAGGAUAAGAGUACAGACUUUAAGGAUAAUUUACAACAUUUUUAGUCUGACCCCAAGACCUUACAAUCCACACUGGACACUCUCAACAUAAAAGUCUUAAGAAGCGUAUCACCACCUUAGAUCUCAUAA